GUGAGGAAUAUUGCGCAAUGGAGGCAACUCUGACGCAGCCAUGCCGCGUGCAGGAAGAAGGCGCUACGCGUUGUAAACUGCUUUUAACCGGGAAGAAACCCCAGGACGUGUCCUGGGUUGACGGUACCGGAGGAAUAAGCACCGGCUAACUUCGUGCCAGCAGCCGCGGUAAUACGAAGGGUGCAAGCGUUAUCCGGAUUCGUUGGGUUUAAAGGGUGCGUAGGCGGAGCGUUAAGUCAGUGGUGAAAUCCUGCAGCUUAACUGUAGACUUGCCAUUGAUACUGGCGCUCUUGAGUGCGCUUGAAGUGGGCGGAAUGUGCCGUGUAGCGGUGAAAUGCUUAGAUAUGGCACAGAACACCAAUUGCGAAGGCAGCUCACUAAGGCGAUACUGACGCUGAGGCACGAAAGCGUGGGGAUCGAACAGGAUUAGAAACCCCUGUAGUCC
rnacentral:rRNA from 1 species